UACAGAGGGGGCAAGCGUUGUUCGGAAUUACUGGGCGUAAAGGGCGCGUAGGCGGCCUUCUAAGUCAGACGUGAAAUCCCCGGGCUCAACCCGGGAACUGCGUCUGAUACUGGAAGGCUUGAAUCCGGGAGAGGGAUGUGGAAUUCCAGGUGUAGCGGUGAAAUGCGUAGAUAUCGUGAGGAAUACCAGAGGCGAAGGCGGCUACCUGGACAAUUGCUGACGCUCAGGCACGAAAGCGUGGGGAGCAAACAGG
rnacentral:rRNA from 1 species